rnacentral:rRNA from 1 species
CCUACGGGUGGCAGCAGUGAGGAAUAUUGGACAAUGGGCGCGAGCCUGAUCCAGCCAAGCAGCGUGAAGGAUGACUGCCCUACGGGUUGUAAACUUCUUUUAUAAAGGAAUUAAGUGAGGCACGUGGGCCUUUUUGUAUGUAUUUUAUGAAUAAGGCUCGGCUAACUCCGUGCCAGCAGCCGCGGUAAUACGGAGGAUCCGAGCGUUAUGCGGAUUUAUUGGGUUGAAAGGGAGCGUAGAUGGGUUGUUAAGUCAGUUGGGAAAGUUUGCGGCUCAACCGUAAAAUUGCAAUUGAUACUGGCAGCCUUGAGUACAGUAGAGGUAGGCGGAAUUCGUGGUGUAGCGGUAAAAUGCUUAGAUAUCACGAAGAACUCCGAUUGCGAAGGCAGCUUACUAAACUGCCACUGACAUUGAGGCUCGAAAGUGUGGGUAUCAAACAGGAUUAGAUACCCUGGUAGUC